rnacentral:rRNA from 1 species
UACGUAGGGUGCGAGCGUUGUCCGGAAUUAUUGGGCGUAAAGGGCUCGUAGGCGGUUUGUCGCGUCGGGAGUGAAAACCCAGGGCUUAACUCUGGGCUUGCUUUCGAUACGGGCAGACUAGAGGUAUGCAGGGGAGACUGGAAUUCCUGGUGUAGCGGUGGAAUGCGCAGAUAUCAGGAGGAACACCGGUGGCGAAGGCGGGUCUCUGGGCAGUAACUGACGCUGAGGAGCGAAAGCGUGGGGAGCGAACAGG